rnacentral:lncRNA from 1 species
CUGGGGAGUGCGCAGAGCCCCGGGCCAGCGACCGCAGCCGGGGCCCCUGGCUUCUCCCGAGCACUUUCCCCCGGACCGGUCCCUCCAGGGUGGCGGGCGGCACCCAGGGCCGGCGCUCCUCACCAACGCGCUGCAGCUACGGGCUCAGGAGGGAGCCGCAGCGUCGGAGGAGGAAAGCAUUUAAGAAUAGCACAAAGCCUUAGGCUCGAGGAAGCGUGACUGCUUACGUGUUGAAAAUAAAGGUUCUGUAAGUCCCACCGCGGGUGCAUAUUGAAAAGAAAGGGAUCAUUAGCACGCGACCCUCGCCUAGGAGUAUAUAAACCGCAGCACGACUUUCGGAUCACAAAGGCAGAGAAAAGAACACAUUGAAGGCUUUUGCUCACUUUUCCAAGUUGUUUCGUUUCGUUUUGUUUCUAAUGUGGACGAUCAUUUAAAAUGCCUCUGGUGGCCGGGCGCGGUGACUGACGCCUGUAAUCACAGCACUUUGGGAGGCCGAGGCGGGCGGAUCACCUGAGGUCAGGAAUUCGAGACCAGCCUGGGCAAUACGGUUAAACCCCCUCUCUACUAAAAAUAAAAAAAUUAGCUGGGCGUGGUGGCAUGUGCUUGUAGUCCCAGCUACUUGGGAGGCUGAGACAGAAGAAUCGCUUGAACCCGGGAGGCGGAAGUUGCAAUGAGCCAAGAUUGCGCCAUUGCAUUCCAGCCUGGGCAACAGAGCAAGACCCUGUCUCCAAAAAAAACAAAUAAAUAUAACAAAAUUCCUCUGGUAGCCGGGUGCGGUGGCUCACGCCUGUAAUCUCAGCACUUUGGGAGGCUGAGGCAGGUGGAUCACUUGAAGUCAAGAGUUUGAGACCAGCCUGGCCAAUAUAGUGAAACCUCAUCUCUACUGAAAAUACAAAAAUUAGCCAGGCGUGGUGAUGCGCUCCUGUGAUCCCAGCUACUCGGGAGGCUGAGGCGUGAGAAUCGGUUGAACCCGGGAGGUGGAGGUUGUAGUGAUCCGAGAUUGUGCCAUUGCACUCCAGCCUGGGCAACAGAGGGAGAUCCUGUCUCUAAAAUAAAAAAUAAAAGAAAUGCCUUUGGUGAACAGGAAUUCUCAACAUUAGUGACCCGCAGUGUAUUAGUGUUAAUAAUGGACAUCCCCUUUGAUCCAGCAAGCCCAUCUAGAGAUUUCCUAGGAUAGACAAGCCAGUUUGUGCAAUUUCAUGUGUACAGCAUUGUUUUUAGUAUGGAAAGAUUAGAGUUUACAUAUCUACCCAUAGGGAGAGAGUUAAAUAAAUUAUGGUGCAUCCGUUUAGUGGAUUAGUAUACAGCCAUUAGGAAUAAAGGAAUUCUUUAUGUGCUGAUAUGAAAUAUCUUUUUUAUUUUCAAGAAAAAAACCCAGGUUCUGAAUAGUGUAUAAAGUAUGCUACUCAUUGUGCAUAGGGACAAAGAAAAUAUAUACAUUCAUGUUUGCAAAGAUACUGGAGAAAUGUUAGUAGUGGCUGCCUCUAAGGAUGACCAAGAGUGACACUGACUUUUCAUUGUAUCUUCCUUUGUUCUUUUUGAAAUUUGUACAGUCUACUUAUGCUAUCUAUUCAAAAUAAGUGGUGUUAAGAAGAAAUGCCUUUGAGAAUGAAAAUGGUAAGCCCUUGAUUGAGUGGGGUUCAUUUUCUGUUAGGAUCGUGGUCUCUAUUGGUCACAGCUGACCUUGAUCGUCACUGAAAGUGUAUCUCAUUACACAAUAUUGCAGUCUUGAACACCAGGAAGGUUGUUCUGUUCCACAUGAACAUGCUUCAUGAUGGGGUUAGGAAUGUACAACCUGUGAAAAGUGAGGGAGUCUUGAUUAUUAAUAAUAAUAUUAUUAAUAGCUACCUUUUCUUGAUCAUUAGGCACUAUUUGUACAUUAUUUCUCCUUCUCACAUCAACCCAGAAGGUAGGUAUAAGGAAACUGAGUGGCUUCUUGAAUGAAGCCAAACUGCUCUGCAAGAUUGGUGGAAAAGGAGACUCUCCAUGUGCUAACAGGUUCCUGGAUCUCAUAGCUGCUCUGUCUUAGCCCUUAAUAUGUUUCUUUUCCUCAUGGAUGGUGGUUCUGAAACCUGAGCUGUCAGAAGAAUCCUUGGCAGAUUCCUAGAUCCCAGCCUCAGACUCAGAAGGUCUGGAGUUGGGGCUGAAAGCUGCGUGGCUAAUGGGCACUGCAGGUGACUCUGAGGCUGCUGGUCAGUGUCUAGCACUUGGAGAAACUCUACUGAGGGCACCUGCCCCUAAUGCACUGUUGCCACCACUGGGCUGGGGUCAAGAGGCUUUACUUCCCACAUUUGGGCCUCAAUUGGGACCUCUGAGCUUUCCACUAGUUUCCGUUCCAUGAAGGAGUACAAAUUGGAGUAUGUAAAGACAAAAGACAUACGUAAGUGGAUAAUUUGGGUUUGAACUAAGUUCUCUGCGACUCUCAAAGCCAUACUUCCCCCAUGUUGCCACAAAAAGUAUUUGUUUCAUGUUGCCAUGUAUCUCUUACUUCAAAUAUGAAGCAGGAAUGUGAUCUAAAGCAUAAGAACAUAGCAAUAGAUAGACCCAUGUACAUGAUUUCGUAAAACUUUAGAAAGGCCAGUCCUACAUGGUUUGUCCAUAUUUGGACGGUGUGUGGAAUGCACAAAUGAAAGCAUCACUGGCUAUUCUGAACCCCAGGUUUGUGGAAGUGAGUGUAAAGGCCCAGCAGUGAGCCCCAAUCUCACCUGCCCAUCAAAGUUCAGAAACGACAAUCAGAAUAGGCCGCACUUGGCGCUUCCCUGUAGACACAGGAUCUGUGAGUUUGGACAGAUUUCUGGUCAGUUUGGAAGGAAGCUGGCCUCUGUUAACAGAGCACCCCUUAUGGGUCAGUGUUGUGCAGGCAGUCCACAUACACUGUGUGUAUGCGAUGACAGUGCGUCUGCUUGUAGAAGGGGCUGGGUCCCCUCUGCAGAGCCUCCGCAUGGGGCUGCAUGACUGGUUCCGGCCGACUUGCUGGGGAGCGCACAGCCUGUCCACAAAGGGAAUCUUCAUCCUUCCUGAUCUGUAGAGCCAUUUGCAAUGCGUGAUGGCAACUGCUUAACUUCAGUUUUCGUCCCUGGGCCAGAGAUUUCUGUGCCCUGGGAUAAUAAACGUAUUAUCUAAAGAGCUUUUAUUUCUUUCUAGAGAAUAAGGAAAAUGAUACUCUGCAGAAUUUCUAUUUCUUUUGUAAUUAUCUCAGGGGAAGGUAGUUAUUAAGUGUUCACUGAUUAGGAUUAAUGUUUCCAAUUUUUGUCAAGAACAGAAUGUAUGUAUUACUAAUUUAACCAUAAUUUCAAUCAAAACUGUGUCAUUAAAAAUGUUGGCAGUCAUGCAUUUCCUGCAUGGUUAUGAAUUUUUUCAUGUAUCUAUAGUAUUUUUCUAACAGUCUAAUUUUAAUUCAUUCACUUUCUCACGAAAAUGUAUUUUUUUUCCAUUUCAGCAUGUAGUACUUGUGUUACCUUUUCACGAGGCCCACACUCCUCCAAGGAGGCUGCUGAUUGUCUCUAAACUGAUUACCUCCAUUUGUUCUUUCCUUGAUCUUACAGUGUCCAUCAGCUUCCUAUGAUUGAAGAAAAGCUUCCACUUGUAAUAAACCAACUUCUCUCAUCCAGUUAUCAACAUAGACCAAAAAAAAAAAGAAAAAAAAAAGGCCAGGCGCAGUGGCUCAUGCCUGUAAUCCCAGCACUUUGGGAGGUCAAGGUGGGCAGAUCACUUGAAGUCAGGAGUUCAAGACCAGUCUGGCCAACAUGGUGAAACCCUGUCUCUACUAAAAAUACAGAAAUUAGCCGGGAAUUGGUGGUGCGCACCUAUAGUUCCAGCUACUCAGGAGGCUGAGGCAGGUGAAUCGCUUGAAUCCAGGAGGCGGAGGUUGCAUUGAGAGGAGAUCAUGCCACUGCACUGGGCGGCAGAGCAAAACUCUGUCUCAAGAAGAAAAAGAAAAAAGAAAAAAGCGGAGUCGUUCUGUGAGUGAAAACACUGAAUUCCACCGGUUCCUGAUCAUAUUGCCUUUAUUUCAUUCAUUCAUUCAUUCUGGAAAUGGGGAUAAAUAGCCCGUUUGUCUUUCCUGCAGGUUUGUUACGAUGGUGAAGGCAAUUUAGAAGGAACUAUUUAGUGGAGGAUAAAAGUGUUUUGUAAAUGUUAAGAUGCAUUGUUUUGUUUCUGUCCUGUUGCCCAAUUUUCUCUCAGCCCAACACCUGCCUCUAUUUGGUUCUUAGGUUACACAUUAAUUCCAUUUGCUUAGUAAUUUAAAGAAUGUACUGUAGUACACCAAUAAGCUAACAAACUCGGGCCCUUGACCCCAAGUCACCAGUGUCACCUAGAUUCAAAAACCAAUAUAACGAGUCAAGUAUGAAUGCACAAUAUUUUAGCUAAGCCCUUCCUGUCCCACCUCUAAUGAAUCCACAUGCUGCCCCAGGGCUUGGUACAUGCUGUUAAGUAAGCAGCUUUGCUCCCUCCUGCUCCCUGUUUUUGUCUUAGGUUGGUUUCAGUCCUUCCACUGUGGAUGGAGAAGUCACAAAGAAAUGGUUUUGCAGGCAAGGAAUCUUUACUCUGUUUAGCAACUCAGUAACUUGCUAGCAAAUAAAUGGCAAAGGGUCAAAGGAAGUGGAAACAUCACUAUUUUGCAAUCCCUAUUGAAAUGAGGGAUUCAAGCAGCAAUCAUCAAUAGAAGCCAAAAUCCUCCUUUGACGGGAACUGGAUAAUCCCAAGUGCUGGACUGUCGCCCACAGAUUCUCCGCUGCUGGUCAUGAGGGGAAAAGUGCUCAACAUACUAUACAGGCAGCUUACCCAACCCCUCUGUCCCCAGGAGCUGGGAGCAGGGAGAAAUAGUGAGGAGGUUUUCAUGGUCAAAUGUAUUUAGGAGACUUAUUUGAAUCAGGCAAUUACUUAAUUUCUGCAGCUCUUCUGAGAGCCUUUACUAAGCUAUGUGAAUUGUGAUACCGCAAGAGGAACUCUCACCAUGUAGCAUUUCCCAAAUUUUUAUUGAGACAGAGUCUCACUCUGUCACCCAGGAUGGAGUGCAAUAGCGUGAUCUCAGCUCACUGCAAUCUGCUUCCCAGGUUCAAGUGAUUGUCAUGCCUCAGCCUCCCAAGUAGCUGGGAUUACAGGCCUGUGCCACUAUGCUCAGCUACUUUUUGUAUUUUUAGUAGAGACAGGGUUUCACCAUGUUGGCUGGUCUGGUCUCGAACUCCUGGUCUCAAGUGAUCCACCUGUCUCGGCUUCCCAAAGUGCUGGGAUUAGAGACGUGAGCCACUGCGCCUGGUCCUCCCAAACUUCUUUGAACAUAGAGCCCGUUUGGAAGGUGGAUUUGUGGGACUAAGCCUCCCAGGGGCUCCGGUGGCUGUACGCCCUGAUGGCUGUGCACCCCGACCGCUGUGCACCACGACAGCUUCCAUGCCUUCCAAGCUGGGGGGUGCCAUGGGAGGGCUCAGAGCCUCACCCCAGGCUGGAUGAGCUCGACUGCUUUGUAGCUGCCUGUAUGUGGCAAGUAAC